GCAGGGGUAGCAAAGCCUGGUCAAAUGCGCGGGACUCAAGAUCCCGUCUCCAAGCGAGUUCGAGGGUUCAAAUCCCUCUCCCUGCA
rnacentral:tRNA from 1 species